UACGGAGGGGGCGAGCGUUAUUCGGAAUUAUUGGGCGUAAAGGGCGCGUAGGCGGCUUGACAAGUCAAAGGUGAAAUCCCUCGGCUCAACUGAGGAACUGCCUUUGAAACUGUCUGGCUUGAGGCCGGGAGGGGGUAGCGGAAUUCCCAGUGUAGCGGUGAAAUGCGUAGAUACUGGGAGGAACACCAGUGGCGAAGGCGGCUACCUGGACCGGUUCUGACGCUGAUGCGCGAAAGCGUGGGGAGCAAACAGG
rnacentral:rRNA from 1 species